rnacentral:rRNA from 1 species
GAUGAACGCUGGCGGCGUGCCUAAUACAUGCAAGUCGAGCGAACGGACGAGAAGCUGGCUUGUCUGAUGUUAGCGGCGGACGGGUGAGUAACACGUGGAUAACCUACCUAUAAGACUGGGAUAACUUCGGGAAACCGGAGCUAAUACCGGAUAAUAUUUUGAACCGCAUGGUUCAAAAGAGAAAGACGGUCUUGCUGUCACUUAUAGAUGGAUCCGCGCUGCAUUAGCUAGUUGGUAAGGUAACGGCUUACCAAGGCAACGAUGCAUAGCCGACCUGAGAGGGUGAUCGGCCACACUGGAACUGAGACACGGUCCAGACUCCUACGGGAGGCAGCAGUAGGGAAUCUUCCGCAAUGGGCGAAAGCCUGACGGAGCAACGCCGCGUGAGUGAUGAAGGUCUUCGGAUCGUAAAACUCUGUUAUUAGGGAAGAACAUAUGUGUAAGUAACUGUGCACAUCUUGACGGUACCUAAUAAGAAAGCCACGGCUAACUACGUG